ensembl:miRNA gga-mir-146b gga-mir-146b
GGACUGGCUGCUUGGCUUUGAGAACUGAAUUCCAUAGGCGUUAAAGCAUCCAAAAAUGCCCUAUGGAUUCAGUUCUGCAGUUGGGCAGCAAAUAAACCUCCAGCC